GGGUUGUGAGGUUAAGCGACUAAGCGUACACGGUGGAUGCCCUGGCAGUCAGAGGCGAUGAAGGACGUGCUAAUCUGCGAAAAGCGCCGGCGAGGUGAUAUGAACCUUUGACCCGGCGAUGUCCGAAUGGGGAAACCCAGUGCAAUCCGUUGCACUAUCGUUAACUGAAUACAUAGGUUAACGAGGCGAACCGGGGGAACUGAAACAUCUAAGUACCCCGAGGAAAAGAAAUCAACCGAGAUUCCCCCAGUAGCGGCGAGCGAACGGGGAGCAGCCCGGAGUCUGAAUCAGCUUGUGUGUUAGUGGAACGGUCUGGAAAGUCCGACGGUACAGGGUGAUAGUCCCGUACACGAAAGCACACAUGCUGUGAACUCGAAGAGUAGGGCGGGACACGUGGUAUCCUGUCUGAAUAUGGGGGGACCAUCCUCCAAGGCUAAAUACUCCUGACUGACCGAUAGUGAACCAGUACCGUGAGGGAAAGGCGAAAAGAACCCCGGCGAGGGGAGUGAAAAAGAACCUGAAACCGUGUACGUACAAGCAGUGGGAGCCUCUUUAUGGGGUGACUGCGUACCUUUUGUAUAAUGGGUCAGCGACUUAUAUUCUGUAGCAAGGUUAACCGUAUAGGGGAGCCGAAGGGAAACCGAGUCUUAACUGGGCGUUAAGUUGCAGGGUAUAGACCCGAAACCCGGUGAUCUAGCCAUGGGCAGGUUGAAGGUUGGGUAACACUAACUGGAGGACCGAACCGACUAAUGUUGAAAAAUUAGCGGAUGACCUGUGGCUGGGGGUGAAAGGCCAAUCAAACCGGGAGAUAGCUGGUUCUCCCCGAAAGCUAUUUAGGUAGCGCCUCGUGAACUCAUCUUCGGGGGUAGAGCACUGUUUCGGCUAGGGGGCCAUCCCGGCUUACCAACCCGAUGCAAACUACGAAUACCGAAGAAUGUUAUCACGGGAGACACACGGCGGGUGCUAACGUCCGUCGUGAAGAGGGAAACAACCCAGACCGCCAGCUAAGGUCCCAAAGUCAUGGUUAAGUGGGAAACGAUGUGGGAAGGCACAGACAGCCAGGAUGUUGGCUUAGAAGCAGCCAUCAUUUAAAGAAAGCGUAAUAGCUCACUGGUCGAGUCGGCCUGCGCGGAAGAUGUAACGGGGCUAAACCAUGCACCGAAGCUGCGGCAGCGACACUAUGUGUUGUUGGGUAGGGGAGCGUUCUGUAAGCCGUUGAAGGUGUGCUGUGAGGCAUGCUGGAGGUAUCAGAAGUGCGAAUGCUGACAUAAGUAACGAUAAAGCGGGUGAAAAGCCCGCUCGCCGGAAGACCAAGGGUUCCUGUCCAACGUUAAUCGGGGCAGGGUGAGUCGACCCCUAAGGCGAGGCCGAAAGGCGUAGUCGAUGGGAAACAGGUUAAUAUUCCUGUACUUGGUGUUACUGCGAAGGGGGGACGGAGAAGGCUAUGUCAGCCGGGCGACGGUUGUCCCGGUUUAAGCAUGUAGGCGGAGGUUCCAGGUAAAUCCGGUACCUUGUUAACGCUGAGGUGUGAUGACGAGGCACUACGGUGCUGAAGUGAUAAAUGCCCUGCUUCCAGGAAAAGCCUCUAAGCAUCAGGUAACACGAAAUCGUACCCCAAACCGACACAGGUGGUCAGGUAGAGAAUACCAAGGCGCUUGAGAGAACUCGGGUGAAGGAACUAGGCAAAAUGGUGCCGUAACUUCGGGAGAAGGCACGCUGAUAUGUAGGUGAAGCCCCUGCGGGCGGAGCUGAAAUCAGUCGAAGAUACCAGCUGGCUGCAACUGUUUAUUAAAAACACAGCACUGUGCAAACACGAAAGUGGACGUAUACGGUGUGACGCCUGCCCGGUGCCGGAAGGUUAAUUGAUGGGGUUAGCGGCAACGCGAAGCUCUUGAUCGAAGCCCCGGUAAACGGCGGCCGUAACUAUAACGGUCCUAAGGUAGCGAAAUUCCUUGUCGGGUAAGUUCCGACCUGCACGAAUGGCGUAAUGAUGGCCAGGCUGUCUCCACCCGAGACUCAGUGAAAUUGAACUCGCUGUGAAGAUGCAGUGUACCCGCGGCAAGACGGAAAGACCCCGUGAACCUUUACUAUAGCUUGACACUGAACACUGGUCCUUGAUGUGUAGGAUAGGUGGGAGGCUUUGAAGCGUGGACGCCAGUCUGCGUGGAGCCAACCUUGAAAUACCACCCUUUAAUGGCUGGUGUUCUAACGUAGACCCGUAAUCCGGGUUGCGGACAGUGUCUGGUGGGUAGUUUGACUGGGGCGGUCUCCUCCCAAAGAGUAACGGAGGAGCACGAAGGUUGGCUAAUCCUGGUCGGACAUCAGGAGGUUAGUGCAAUGGCAUAAGCCAGCUUGACUGCGAGCGUGACGGCGCGAGCAGGUGCGAAAGCAGGUCAUAGUGAUCCGGUGGUUCUGAAUGGAAGGGCCAUCGCUCAACGGAUAAAAGGUACUCCGGGGAUAACAGGCUGAUACCGCCCAAGAGUUCAUAUCGACGGCGGUGUUUGGCACCUCGAUGUCGGCUCAUCACAUCCUGGGGCUGAAGUAGGUCCCAAGGGUAUGGCUGUUCGCCAUUUAAAGUGGUACGCGAGCUGGGUUUAGAACGUCGUGAGACAGUUCGGUCCCUAUCUGCCGUGGGCGCUGGAGAAUUGAGGGGGGCUGCUCCUAGUACGAGAGGACCGGAGUGGACGCAUCACUGGUGUUCGGGUUGUCAUGCCAAUGGCACUGCCCGGUAGCUAAAUGCGGAAAAGAUAAGUGCUGAAAGCAUCUAAGCACGAAACUUGCCCCGAGAUGAGUUCUCCCUGAGACUUUAAGUCUCCUGAAGGAACGUUGAAGACGACGACGUUGAUAGGUCGGGUGUGUAAGCGCAGCGAUGCGUUGAGCUAACCGAUACUAAUGAACCGUGAGGCUUAACCUUACAACGCCGAAGCUGUU
rnacentral:rRNA from 1 species